AAAUGAAUUGACGGGGACCCACACAAGCAGUGGAUCACGUGGUUUAAUUCGACAAUAAACGGGGAACCUUACCCAGACUUGACAUCUAUAGAAUCUUUUGGAAACAGAAGAGUGCCCGUAAGGGAGCUAUAAGACAGGUGCUGCAUGGUUGUCGUCAGCUCGUGCCUUGAGGUGUUCGGUUAAGUCCGUUAACGAGCGCAACCCAUGUCAUUAGUUGUAUUUUCUAAUGAGACUGCCUAGGUUAACUAGGAGGAAGGUGUGGAUGACGUCAAAUCAGCAUGGCUUUUACGUCUGGGGCUACACACAUGAUACAAUGGUGCGUACAAAGAGCAGCAAUACGGUAACGUGGAGCUAAUCUCAAAAACGCAUCUCAGUCCGGAUUGAGGGCUGCAACUCGCCCUCAUGAAGUUGGAAUUGCUAGUAAUCGUAAAUCAGACAUGUUACGGUGAAUAUGUUCCUGGGUCUUGUACACACCGCCCGU
rnacentral:rRNA from 1 species